CAAGACACAACAACAACAAUGAACAACAUCAUCAUCCUCAUCUGGACUCUCACACUGUUUGCUCAAGAGUGUAGAGGACAGUACACUGUAACUCAGAGUCCAUCAGUAAUAACAGCAGCUCAAGGACAAAACGUCAGAAUUAACUGUAAAACCAGCAGUAGAGUGUAUAAUGGUAAUGAGUUAGCCUGGUACUUACAGAAACCUGGAGAAGCUCCUAAACUCCUCAUAUAUCUUAUAUCAAGCCGUUACACUGGAACUCCUUCUAGAUUCAGUGGCAGUGGAUCUGACACUGAUUUCACUCUGACCAUCAGUGGAGUCCAGACUGAAGAUACAGGAGAUUAUUACUGUCAGAGUGAACACUCUAUCAGUAGUAGCUGGGUGUUCACACAGUGAUAAAGAGUCGUACAAAAACCUCCAUCAGUCAGAGUCACAGUGACUGCACUGAUACAGCUGAGAGACACUGCAGCUGAUGAUGAGAGGAUGUUUUACAUACAAAUUGGUGUAGCAAAUUUAACAAAACUUUAAAUGUCUAAACUAAGAUAAAAAUAAUGAAAUAUACACUGUGUGCAGAAUUAUUAGGCAAAUUAGUAUUUUGACCACAUCAUCCUCUUUAUGCAUG